rnacentral:rRNA from 1 species
UACGUAGGGUGCAAGCGUUGUCCGGAAUUAUUGGGCGUAAAGCGCGUGUAGGCGGUCCGGUAAGUCGGUUGUGAAAGUCCAGGGCUCAACCCUGGGAUGCCGACCGAUACUGUCGGACUAGAGUUCGGAAGAGGCGAGUGGAAUUCCCGGUGUAGCGGUGAAAUGCGCAGAUAUCGGGAGGAACACCAAUGGCGAAGGCAGCUCGCUGGGACGUUACUGACGCUGAGACGCGAAAGCGUGGGGAGCAAACAGG